rnacentral:rRNA from 1 species
GACGAACGCUGGCGGCGCGCUUAACACAUGCAAGUCGAGCGAGAACCAGUCCUUCGGGACUGGGGACAGCGGCGAACGGGUGAGUAACACGUGGGUAAUCUGCCCUCGGCACUGGGAUAGCCCGGGGAAACCCGGAUUAAUACCGGAUAGCCUUUCGAGUCCUCGGACUCGUCAGAAAAGGUGGCUUCGGCUUCCGGGCGAGGAUGAGCCCGCGGCGGAUUAGCUUGUUGGGGGGGUAAUGGCCCACCAAGGCGACGAUCCGUAGCUGGUCUGAGAGGACGAUCAGCCACACUGGGACUGAGACACGGCCCAGACUCCUACGGGAGGCAGCAGUGGGGAAUCUUGCGCAAUGGGCGACAGCCUGACGCAGCGACGCCGCGUGCGGGAAGAAGGCCUUCGGGUUGUAAACCGCUUUCAGGAGGGACGAAGCCACUCGGGUUAAUAGCCCAGAGGGUGACGGUACCUCCAGAAGAAGCCCCGGCUAACUACGUGCCAGCAGCCGCCGUAAGAC